AACGCAACGAGGUUCUGCCAGGGAGAUGGCAGCACAACCAAAUACUGGUGCCUCUCACCACUCCGGGGGGGUGGGUGGUCACGGGCCAGUGCAACCCCUGAGCCCUGGCUGCAAUGCAGGCUCUCAGGCCUCGCCAUGACCUCGCGCUGGUGCAGUGGGAGAACGCCCUGACCGCAGCCUGGCCAGGCCCGCUGUGCACCAAGCCCAAGCCCCAUGCUAUUCCUGUCCUGGUUCUGUCUCCUCUAACAGCUGAGUCAGAAUCUGCAUUUUCACCAGCUCCCCAGGUGCUCUGUGUGCACAUUAGUUCGGCAAGUACUGUUGUAGAAGAGGCCUCUCCACUUCUAGCCUGGUUUCUUCCAAAACCACGUAGAUAUUUUUGUUCCCCAGGUCUUGUGUUCUGUGUAUUUUCCACAGUGCCGCAGGGAAGGCAGUGCAGACAGUGUAGUUAAGAGUACAGGCUCUGAAGUCAAACUGGUCCGUCCAAAGCCAACUGCCAAGGGCUGUCGGGAAAAUGUCCUGAGAUACGCACAGAUAUGCCGGCAAGGCUACUAACGUAGAGAGUUCUCUGCCACUGUAGGAUCUGCACAGAACACAUGCUCAGUGCAUAUUCACAAACAGCAUGGAAGGACAAGGUAAGACAGAGUUUCUGAAAAAUGGAGAUCCCAAUGCUGGUGGCCAUUAGUUUCUACCAGCAGCUCCAGAACAGGGCAAGAAGCUGGAGGAACCAUGUUUGAGGAUAAACUUUGUGAGGUUCUGGAGUCCAGAGUGAUGCUUCCGAGUUGACAAAGACAGGGUUUCACCAUGUUGGCCAGGAAGGUCUUUAUCUCUUGACCUCGUGAUCCCGCCUGCCUCAGCCUCCCAAAGUGCUAGGAUUACAGGCGUGAGCCACCGCGCCCGGCCGCGUCCCAUCUUUGAAAUGGGGCAAUAGCCCUGUCUUCUGCAGAGCAGCUGCAGAGACGACUUCCAGGCAGCACUCGGCCCAGCGCCUGGCAUGGCUGUGACUGCUGCCACCAUCACGCCUGUGGCCCGUCCUCUCACCACGGCCUGCAGAGAACGCAGAGGAGAAAACAGUGGCCCAGACUGAGAGAGAGGCUGGAGAGCGGGCAGCCGCAUCUGCUCCGGGGAGAGUGCUAUGGAGCACACGUAAGGAUUCUCCUGGGAGCAAGGGGCCAGAAGAGAAAGCUGCCCUAGGCUCUGCCCCGCCAGCCGGGAGCCUCCUGCCUCGGGAAGUGGAGCGAUGCCCACCCACACGGCGGGCCCUGGGUUGCCCAGUUCUCAGCGGCUUCGCGGAGCCUUCUACCACACAGCCACGGCCUCCUGAGACGACACCACUGCAACCCACCUCAUGCCACCCCACUGCCCGCUGGGGAGACAGACCUCAGUGCCUGAUUCAUGAGCUUCUGAGAAGGUUCUGAAGGGAACAUGGACAGCCCCCGGUCCUGUGGCUGGCAGAGUAAGCAACAGCUGCAUGCCAGGAAGGGUGCUGCAGGACCAGGAAGGAGCAGUGGGUAGGGGCUAGCUCGAGAUGGGGUGCAAGGGUGCGACAACCUCCAACCUGCAAGGGGCACACUCAACUCUCGAAUCCUUUCACUCAACUACCACUGCACCAUCCUGUUAUUAACCAGUCUGAUAAAUGGAUCUUAAGAUAUUCAAACAGCAUCAUGCUCAAAGUGAAAACUUCAACUUUAAACAAACGAUGGUGAACAUAAGUAACAAUUUUACAUUGACUUUUAUUUAAUAAAACCACGUAUUUACAAUUCAAAAAAGUCCUACUUUGAUACACUUUACUAAAUAAAAUUAAAGGUUGACUAUACAAGCAAUUAAAACAUGAUGUGUAGCAAGUGUUAUCAGGAGUUUUCAGCAAACUAUUUAAAAUAGUCAAAAACUGAGCAGUUAAAAAGUACCUUCUGAAGUGAACGCCGUUUCUAAAUGGGAUCCCAAUGCCUGGUGGGAGAGGCAGCCUCACUCUACCGUGCAGGCUGGACAAAGGUCUCGGCCCUGAAGUCUUAGACUCUGAGAGUCAAUGGCAUGUGAAGUGGAGUGUGCAGACCUCCGGAGGAGCAGCACGUCAAUGUCUCAUUUCCAGUUUACUUAAACCACACACAGAGGCAGCCUCUACACUUGCCAACAGCCUCUGUACCAAGGUGCUAAGGGACCCUGGCCGGGGACUCAGAACUUUAGAACUUUCUGGCCUCUGAAGAGGACCCAUGAAACUGGCGAGACCUCGUGUGACCCCUAAACAGGUCAUACAAGCCUCUUCUGAACUAAGAUUGGGAAGGUGUUCCACACCGGCAUGGGAUCCUGCUCAGAAGCAGAAUGCAUCGUAGUGCUAUCUGGAGAGAUUGAUGUGAAACUGCUUCACCAGGAACACAAAGGGCUGGGCGCUGAAGACACAGAAGAUCCCCAGCGGCAAUCUGAACACACUGCACAAGGCCCUUUGCCGCGCCACCUUCUGUACGACUUAAGGAACAUCUUUAUGUACAGUAAGAAAAUAUAUACAUCUUUAAGGAACGGAACGCCCAUAUCAUGAACAAAAAUAAGUACAUCUGCGAGGACGACAGCGCGCAGGCCUCAGGCGGCCCCUCCCACAGGCCCAGCUCAGACCAGAUUACAUUCAACAUCUUGAUGUCAGGAAAUGGCUACGUCUGGAGGCCACCGGGACCCCCCAUGAAGACAGGAUGCCUCCUCCAAGAGGUGAGUCAGCGUUUAAAGGCCGAGGCAGAAAGUGGUCUCCACGAUGCUCUGCAGCCUCCCUGGAGAUUCAGCUGAGAUGUAGGGGCAGAGUCUGGGAAAUGUGACACAUGGUAGUGCUGAGAAGGAGGGCACGGGACAGCCACUGGCUCAGCAACUUGCUCCUGCACCUAGAGGAGCAUUAGCGGGUAUGGCAGACAUAAAAAGUCCAGAAAACGAAUGCCAGCUCGGCUUUCCUUCCCCAGCCCCUGGCCCAGGGCUCCUGUUACAAGCUACAUAGAUAGACAGAGCCAAACAGCCCUCAACAUCGGAAAUGAGAUCAGCCUAGGGGGACCCCCUGGGGUGGGAAGUGUGGCUGAGAAGGGCCGUGGAGUGCAGACCACCCCAAGGCACACAUGUACGCAUGACUAACCAAGCCCGUGACCGGGUCCGCAGAAUGCUCCCCAGGACCAGCCUGCCAGCAGACCGCCACGUGGGCCCUGCUUCCAGACACUGGUCUGUCCUUUAGACUGCGCAGCUGCAAAACGGUUCAUUUCUGUGAUUUUGGAUAACCAAAGUCCUCACACAAAGUUCUACAAUUAGUCAAGGAAAAGACAGAACAAAAAAUUUGCCAACGACCCUGGGAAAGUCAGCUAAAAUGCGGAGGCUGAUGGUCCAGUAUAAGCAUCUGACCAGAUUGUCUAGGCUGUUAGACGUGUGUUGCUCGCUCCUCCGUCUGUACAACGGGUCAUGAAGCACACGUUCUAAAGUCAAAUGUGUGAGGGACUCACUGGCACUUAGGAUGGGUCGAGCUGUGCAGGGCUCAAAGGCAGAGAGGAGCCACUGCUGGUACAAGGGGCCACCUCCCCCACACGUGCUGUUCUGGGCUGCUGCCCCGGCCUCCACUGAACAGGCCGGUGGGAGAGGGCCCAGCUACACAUCUCUUUCUCUAUCCUUUUACUUACAGGGGGCUGAUUCCACUCUGUGUUCUCUCCGCUUUUAAGCCUGUCUCUAUUGCCACAGAGCUUCCUCGCAAAUAGCUCCUCCUCUUGAACUUCCCACCUCCGCAGGACUGAUGCCAGGGAGCAGUCUCCCGGCGCGCAGUCCCACUGGAGCCCACAUGUGCACCUGCAGCCUAUACACUGUGACAGUGUCAAGGCAACAUGGCCCAGUGCUCACCUGCAGGCUGGGUCGAUGCCCAGGCAUCCACGAACACACAACAGUGGCUAUCCUCAGAGAGCCCCUGUUCCUUUAAUGCUAUCUUUGGUAGGUGAGUUUUAGAAACGUGACCUCCAGCUCUGGAAAGACUAUCUCAAUAACUCAAUCAGCGAUCCCUUUCUUAUUGAAAACAUGUAAAUAUGAGCCAAAGCAUCUCAAGUCUCCCAAAUAACAUCUCUCAUGCAUCCUGGCUAAGACUGUAAAAUACUUCCCAGUAGUUGACAUAGAAGCAUUACAAUUUAAUUAGCUUUUGCUGAAAUAAAGGAGUGGGGGUGAGCCACUGCCCAUCGUUCAACCGUGCAGCAGAUGCAGUGGCUGGCUGUGGUCCACAGCAGCUCAUCCUUCCACUGAGCUGCUUAAGGCUAAGCCUUGGUUUAAUUCUUU
rnacentral:antisense_RNA from 1 species